UACACUCCUGCGGGAGGCAGCAGUGGGGAAUUUUGGACAAUGGGCGAAAGCCUGAUCCAGCAAUGCCGCGUGUGUGAAGAAGGCCUUCGGGUUGUAAAGCACUUUUGUCCGGAAAGAAAUCCUUGGCUCUAAUACAGUCGGGGGAUGACGGUACCGGAAGAAUAAGCACCGGCUAACUACGUGCCAGCAGCCGCGGUAAUACGUAGGGUGCGAGCGUUAAUCGGAAUUACUGGGCGUAAAGCGUGCGCAGGCGGUUUGCUAAGACCGAUGUGAAAUCCCCGGGCUCAACCUGGGAACUGCAUUGGUGACUGGCAGGCUAGAGUAUGGCAGAGGGGGGUAGAAUUCCACGUGUAGCAGUGAAAUGCGUAGAGAUGGGGAGGAAUACCGAUGGCGAAGGCAGCCCCCUGGGCCAAUACUGACGCUCAUGCACGAAAGCGUGGGGAGCAAACAGGAUUAGAUACCCUUGUAGUCCC
rnacentral:rRNA from 1 species